rnacentral:lncRNA from 1 species
UGGGUGUCAGACUAUUUACUUUUACUAGCAUGUCAAUAGUCAUUAUUUAAUUUAAAAUCUUUUGUUGUGGUCACACUCGAUAUUGUGUUGAGGUUAUUACAAGCUACUCUUAAAAGUCAAUUGAGAGAUAAAAAGGCAUUAUAAUAGUGGAGUCCAAUGUAGAAAUUAUAAUAUAGAAGAUAUGAUAGAGCAAUCCUAGAUGGAUGCUCAAAUACAACAC